rnacentral:miRNA from 1 species
UGGCAGUAAGAUGAUUUAGUACC